AAUGGGGGAAACCCUGAUGCAGCGAUGCCGCGUGAGUGAAGAAGGCCCUUGGGUUGUAAAACUCUUUCGUCGGGGAAGAAAAUGACUGUACCCGAAUAAGAAGGUCCGGCUAACUUCGUGCCAGCAGCCGCGGUAAUACGAAGGGACCUAGCGUAGUUCGGAAUUACUGGGCUCAAAGAGCUCGUAGGUGGUUAAAAAAGUUGAUGGUGAAAUCCCAAGGCUUAACCUUGGAACUGCCAUCAAAACUUUUUAGCUGGAGUAUGAUAGAGGAAAGUGGAAUUUCUAGUGUAGUGGUGAAAUUCGUAGAUAUUAGAAAGAACACCAAAUGCGAAGGCAACUUUCUGGAUCAUUACUGACACUGAGGAGCGAAAGCAUGGGUAGCGAAGAGGAUU
rnacentral:rRNA from 1 species